rnacentral:piRNA from 1 species
UGACAGCCGAGAAGAAUGCAGAAUCGAGCGU